CGCCUUGCCAGCCCGCUCAGAACUUAAAGGAAUUGACGGGGGCCCGGCACAAGCGGCGGAGCAUGUGGAUUAAUUCGAUGCAACGCGAAGAACCUUACCUGGGUUUGACAUACACCGGAAACCGUAGAGAUACGGUCCCCCUUGUGGUCGGUGGUACAGGUGGUGCAUGGCUGUCGUCAGCUCGUGUCGUGAGAUGUUGGGUUAAGUCCCGCAACGAGCGCAACCCUUGUCUUAUGUUGCCAGCACGUGAUGGUGGGGACUCGUAAGAGACUGCCGGGGUCAACUCGGAGGAAGGUGGGGACGACGUCAAGUCAUCAUGCCCCUUAUGUCCAGGGCUUCACACAUGCUACAAUGGCCAGUACAGAGGGCUGCGAGACCGUGAGGUGGAGCGAAUCCCUUAAAGCUGGUCUCAGUUCGGAUCGGGGUCUGCAACUCGACCCCGUGAAGUCGGAGUCGCUAGUAAUCGCAGAUCAGCAACGCUGCGGUGAAUACGUUCCCGGGCCUU
rnacentral:rRNA from 1 species